rnacentral:miRNA from 1 species
AUUCCCUGCUUGGUGAUUGCU